CGAUUAGAUUUCAGUUCGCUCUUCCGCCGCCUGCUUCGUUUUUAUCUCUUUUUAUUUUCCGAUCUGAUUUCUGAUAUCAAUGGCUCUGAGUUUGAGUAUUAGAGGUUGAAAAAGCAGGGAUUGUGUGUAUCGGCGUAGUGCUAAUUUCAGUGCACUCUGUUCCGAAAGAGUUCCCUGCAACAUCCAAUCUUCAAGGGAAGAGAAGGAGCUUUUGAAAGCCUCAAAGCCUAUAGAUUCUCAACCAGAAAGGGGCAAAGCUAUGAUGAAUAAGGAAUAAGGGAGAGAGGUUCUAUGAUGUGCACAAGGAAUAAGGGAGAAAGGUUCAGGAGAGCAGAAUGCCACUCGGCGAUCAUCCUCUACGCUCUGCAUUGAUUGCACUGAUAAGCCAUUGCACUCUCGUCUUGAGACCUUUUGAAGCCUCCUCGUACGCCUGCAGCUGUCGUGGGUGCUGUUUUUUUAAAUUAUUAUUAUUAUUUAACCGAGUCGCAUCACAUAAUGUAUUAUAUAUAAUAUAAAGUAACACAUAUUAUUUAUAUUUGUUAUUGAAAAUAUAGCAUAGUCAAUUAUUCAGAAAUCAGCAAUCUCCAGAUAAGAUUCAGAAGAGGCACAGAAAAGGAAGACAUCGACCCUUGUUCUUAGUUGGAUGGAU